rnacentral:rRNA from 1 species
AUGGCACUAGAACUUGCUGCUGCUUGCUCUCAGCAAAAUGUUUCUAUGGUGGCCCCCUCUCAAGAUGAAUAUGGUCUUGAUCCUAUUGAUCAUGAAUCUGACUACGAUCAAACUCUGAAGGUGAUGGGAGAGGUGGAAGAAAACAUGAAGAUAUCCAAGGAUUACAUGGUACAACUUCCUCAUCCUCAUUGCGAGGAGAUUAUUCCUACACCACCACUUGCCCCUGAGCUUCCAGCGCAAUACUCAUCUUCAGCACAUGUAUAUGGAGGCGAGGGCCGCAUAUCUGGUCAAUGUCAAAAAUCUGAAAGGUCUACAGGCGGGCGACGACGUCACGCAACUUCGAGCAGGUGCUGA